UACGUAGGGUGCAAGCGUUGUCCGGAAUUACUGGGCGUAAAGGGCGCGCAGGCGGCCCUUGAAGUCAGGCGUGAAAGCCCCCGGGCUCAACCUGGGAGGUGCGCUUGAUACUCGAGGGCUUGAGUGCGGGAGAGGAGAGUGGAAUUCCCAGUGUAGAGGUGAAAAUUCGUAGAUAUUGGGAAAGAACACCGGUGGCGAAGGCGGGCUCUCUGGACCGUAAACUGACGCUGAGGCGCGAAAGCGUGGGGAGCAAACAAGG
rnacentral:rRNA from 1 species